UCCUCAACCCUAAGCCACGCCCUUUGCUCCACCAGGAAAAAACCUACCCCAACAACCAUGGUGUGUCUGCUGCAGGACCCUGGCUGUGUGUGUUAGCUCACUGCAUGAGACACUUCAAUGGACAAUUCAACAGAACCAUGUUACAAGGCCGUUUGCUGAUUGGAAUAAGCCACAGUGACUCUGCUGAAGGGUUGUUACACAUGGGUUUUUCAAGGACUCUUUGUGGGCACAUAUAAAGCAGCUGUGUUUGCAGUGACUGCAGGCUAAAGAGACCAAGCCUGUUGCCAUUUAUUUAUUCAUAUAAUGGUCUGCUAGCAUUUUUUUUGUAGGAUUUCUUAUGCCUCUUUGACAAUAUGGAAUCUGUUCUGUCAUCAUUAUAAUGAGAAAUGGAUGAAAACUGAUUUUUCCUCAAGACUAUCAUAUACUUAAUUAUUUAGGUCGAAUAAGAAACUUGUUCUUGUUAAGGUAACAAGGCAACUUAUCUCAUUAUAACAAACUUGUUUUAAUAAAAAAUGAAAGACCUUAGCAUACAUGGAACACAAGUCUAAGGAGACUUUGUGGUAGGGGAUGUGCUCUCCAAUUUUGUUACUGUUGACAUUUUUUUGUACUUGUAUUUCUUAAUGAGUUUUACUAAGCAGUGAAUGGUUUUAUAGGACCUUGGUGGGAGCUGCAUUAAAAUGUAACAUAUGAUGACUAUUCAGCAUUUUCUCAUUAGCGCUAAGUGAAAAUAAACAGCUGCACUUUUUCAAAUUCAUAAUGAGCAGAAAAGAAUACAUUCUAUAUCCUACACAGAGGUUCUGUACCUGAUUAUUUAACACCAUGUACUAUGCUCAAUAGUAAAAUCUUAUACUUGGGAUAGAUUUAAACGUGUAAAGAUUCAUUUCUAAAACGUUCAUUUUAUUACAAAGCCUACAUGCUGUUCUAAUGAA